rnacentral:rRNA from 1 species
ACUCCUACGGGAGGCAGCAGUGGGGAAUAUUGCACAAUGGGCGCAAGCCUGAUGCAGCCAUGCCGCGUGUAUGAAGAAGGCCUUCGGGUUGUAAAGUACUUUCAGCAGUGAGGAAGGCGGGUACGUUAAUAGCGUGCUUGUUUGACGUUAGCUGCAGAAGAAGCACCGGCUAACUCCGUGCCAGCAGCCGCGGUAAUACGGAGGGUGCGAGCGUUAAUCGGAAUUACUGGGCGUAAAGCGCAUGCAGGUGGUUUGUUAAGUCAGAUGUGAAAGCCCGGGGCUCAACCUCGGAAUUGCAUUUGAAACUGGCAGACUAGAGUACUGUAGAGGGGGGUAGAAUUUCAGGUGUAGCGGUGAAAUGCGUAGAGAUCUGAAGGAAUACCGGUGGCGAAGGCGGCCCCCUGGACAGAUACUGACACUCAGAUGCGAAAAGCGUGGGGAGCAAACAGGAUUAGAUACCCUGGUAGGAUAGCG